AGUGAACGCUGGCGGUAGGCCUAACACAUGCAAGUCGAACGGCAGCACAGUAAGAGCUUGCUCUUACGGGUGGCGAGUGGCGGACGGGUGAGGAAUACAUCGGAAUCUACUUUUUCGUGGGGGAUAACGUAGGGAAACUUACGCUAAUACCGCAUACGACCUACGGGUGAAAGCAGGGGAUCUUCGGACCUUGCGCGAUUGUAUGAGCCGAUGUCGGAUUAGCUAGUUGGCGGGGUAAAGGCCCACCAAGGCGACGAUACGUAGCUGGUCUGAGAGGAUGAUCAGCCCCACUGGAACUGAGACACGGUCCAGACUCCUACGGGAGGCAGCAGUGGGGAAUAUUGGACAAUGGGCGCAAGCCUGAUCCAGCCAUACCGCGUGGGUGAAGAAGGCCUUCGGGUUGGAAAGCCCUUUUGUUGGGAAAGAAACGCAGCAGGUUAAUACCACGCUGUUCUGACGGUACCCAAAGAAUAAGCACCGGCUAACUUCGUG
rnacentral:rRNA from 1 species